UCAAACUUCAACAAACUUCUUUGAAGUGUUGAGAUUAUGAGUGCCCAUUACUCACACGGUGAUGGCUGCUUUAAAUUUGAAUAUCAACAAGAUUCUUCAGUGACAUUUAGUUGUGCUUGGAAUUUACCCUGAUCUUUCUCUACCCUUAUACCC
rnacentral:misc_RNA from 1 species